CUACGGGUCGCUGCAGUGAGGAAUAUUGCACAAUGGGCGCAAGCCUGAUGCAGCCAUGCCGCGUGUAUGAAGAAGGCCUUCGGGUUGUAAAGUACUUUCAGCGGGGAGGAAGGGAGUAAAGUUAAUACCUUUGCUCAUUGACGUUACCCGCAGAAGAAGCACCGGCUAACUCCGUGCCAGCAGCCGCGGUAGGAUACGGAGGGUGCAAGCGUUAAUCGGAAUUACUGGGCGUAAAGCGCACGCAGGCGGUUUGUUAAGUCAGAUGUGAAAUCCCCGGGCUCAACCUGGGAACUGCAUCUGAUACUGGCAAGCUUGAGUCUCGUAGAGGGGGGUAGAAUUCCAGGUGUAGCGGUGAAAUGCGUAGAGAUCUGGAGGAAUACCGGUGGCGAAGGCGGCCCCCUGGACGAAGACUGACGCUCAGGUGCGAAAGCGUGGGGAGCAAACAGGAUUAGAUACCCCGGUAGUC
rnacentral:rRNA from 1 species